CAAAAUCAAUGAAAUUAUAAUGUAUAGACAAGAAUAUUAUAAUAUUCUAGAAUUGAGUGGAUCUACCAUCUUUCCGGACAUCAGAGAUACAUGGAUACUUGCGUCCAUAACGAAGUAUAGGAACGGGAAAUGUCCGCUUAUGAAAUAUCCGCACCCUUUAAAAAGGUGCUUUCAGCGGUUUCGCUUUGCCUUUGAUAUUACCGAUUGCCAUAAGUGGUGGUGACCUCUCACCAUCAGGUGCGCUAUAUGCUCGCUAGCUUUUGAAAGUAAUAUAAAAAAAAACAAGUUUAUUAGUUGACUAAUAGGACAAUGUGCUUGGAGUCACCGAAAUCCUUCAGUAAACCGGUAAAUAGACUAGUGAGUUGGGCCUUGCAUUUCAUACAGUCUUGUAGCCAUUUUGUACAUGUUUAUUAAAUAGAUAAAAUAUAAAUACAAAAGUAGAGCUUCAAAUAUAAAAUUAAAAAUAUUUAAAAA